UAGUCCACGCCGUAAACGAUGAAUACUAGGUGUAGGGGGUAUCGACCCCCCUGUGCCGGCGCUAACACAAUAAGUAUUCCGCCUGGGAAUUACGAUCGCAAGAUUAAAACUCAAAGGAAUUGACGGGGGCCCGCACAAGCGGUGGAGUAUGUGGUUUAAUUCGACGCAACGCGAAGAACCUUACCAGGUCUUGACAUUGAUCGCCAUCGGUGGAAACACCGAAUCCUCCCUCGGGAGGCGAGAAAAC
rnacentral:rRNA from 1 species